GCUCAUUUCAACAUGCACACACUCAAACAAGAACCUGCAGAAUAGAUUAGCAUGGACCCUGCUCAAGGAUAACAUGGAAAUUCAUGAAUUGUCCCAUGUUUUU
ensembl:snRNA U6 U6 spliceosomal RNA